rnacentral:rRNA from 1 species
AAAUUGAAGAGUUUGAUCAUGGCUCAGAUUGAACGCUGGCGGCAGGCCUAACACAUGCAAGUCGAACGGUAACAGGAAGCAGCUUGCUGUUUCGCUGACGAGUGGCGGACGGGUGAGUAAUGUCUGGGAAACUGCCUGAUGGAGGGGGAUAACUACUGGAAACGGUGGCUAAUACCGCAUAACGUCGCAAGACCAAAGAGGGGGACCUUCGGGCCUCUUGCCAUCAGAUGUGCCCAGAUGGGAUUAGCUUGUUGGUGAGGUAAUGGCUCACCAAGGCGACGAUCCCUAGCUGGUCUGAGAGGAUGACCAGCCACACUGGAACUGAGACACGGUCCAGACUCCUACGGGAGGCAGCAGUGGGGAAUAUUGCACAAUGGGCGCAAGCCUGAUGCAGCCAUGCCGCGUGUAUGAAGAAGGCCUUCGGGUUGUAAAGUACUUUCAGCGGGGAGGAAGGUGUUGCGGUUAAUAACCGCAGCAAUUGACGUUA